rnacentral:rRNA from 1 species
GAGUUUGAUCUUGGCUCAGAACGAACGCUGGCGGCGUGGAUAAGACAUGCAAGUCGGACGGGACUAUUUCUAGUAGCAAUACCGGGAAUAGUUUAGUGGCGAACGGGUGCUUAACACGUGGGCAACCUGCCAGGAAGUGGGGGAUAGCUCGCCGAAAGGCGAAUUAAUACCGCAUGUGAUUAGAGAGGACAUCCUUUCGAAAUUAAAGUCGGGGCAACCUGACGCUUCUUGUGGGGCCCGCGGCCUAUCAGCUAGUUGGUGAGGUUACGGCUCACCAAGGCUUUGACGGGUAGCUGGUCUGAGAGGACGACCAGCCACACUGGGACUGAGACACGGCCCAGACACCUAC